rnacentral:rRNA from 1 species
GAUGAACGCUAGCGGGAGGCUUAAUACAUGCAAGUCGUACGGUAACAGGUGUAGCAAUACAUGCUGACGAGUGGCGCACGGGUGAGGAACACGUACACAAUCUGCCUUUGACUGGGGGAUAGCCUUGGGAAACUAAGAUUAAUACCCCAUAACAUCAUGAUGUGGCAUCACAUUGUGAUUAAACCUCCGGGGGUCAAAGAUGAGUGUGCGUCUGAUUAGGUAGUUGGUAGGGUAACGGCCUACCAAGCCAACGAUCAGUAGCUGGCGUGAGAGCGCGACCAGCCACACGGGAACUGAGACACGGUCCCGACUCCUACGGGAGGCAGCAGUAGGGAAUAUUGGACAAUGGCUGAAAAGCUGAUCCAGCCAUCCCGCGUGAAGGUAGAAGGUCCUAUGGAUUGUAAACUUCUUUUCUCUGGGAAGAAAAAGCUUGAUUCAUCAAGCCCUGACGGUACCAGAGGAAUAAGCACCGGCUAACUCCGUGC